rnacentral:rRNA from 1 species
UCCCAGACUCCUACGGGAGGCAGCAGUGGGGAAUAUUGCACAAUGGGGGGAACCUUGAUGCAGCAACGCCGCGUGGGUGAAGAAGUACUCCGGUAUGUAAAGCCCUGUCAGCAGGGAAGAGAAUGACGGUACCUGACUAAGAAGCCCCGGCUAACUACGUGCCAGCAGCCGCGGUAAUACGUAGGGGGCGAGCGUUAUCCGGAUUCACUGGGUGUAAAGGGAGCGUAGACGGCCAUGCAAGCCAGGGGUGAAGGCCCGGGGCCCAACCCCGGGACUGCCCUUGGAACUGCAUGGCUGGAGUGCGGGAGGGGCAGGCGGAAUUCCUGGUGUAGCGGUGAAAUGCGUAGAUAUCAGGAGGAACACCGGCGGCGAAGGCGGCCUGCUGGACCGCGACUGACGUUGAGGCUCGAAAGCGUGGGGAGCAAACAGGAUUAGAUACCCCAGUA